rnacentral:rRNA from 1 species
AGAAUCAACGCUGGCGGCGUGCCUAACACAUGCAAGUCGCACGAGAAAGUGGAGCAAUCCAUGAGUAAAGUGGCGUACGGGUGAGUAACACGUGAAUCAUCUACCUUCGAGUGUGGAAUAACUGAGAGAAAUCUUAGCUAAUACCGCAUAAUACCUACGGGUCAAAGCAGCAAUGCGCUUGAAGAGGAGUUCGCGGCAGAUUAGUUAGUUGGCGGGGUAAUGGCCCACCAAGACGAUGAUCUGUAUCCGGCCUGAGAGGGCGCACGGACACACUGGAACUGAAACACGGUCCAGACUCCUACGGGAGGCAGCAGUGGGAAUUUUGCGCAAUGGGGAAACCCUGACGCAGCAACGCCGCGUGGAGGAUGAAAUAUCUUGGUAUGUAAACUCCUUUCGAUGGGGAAGAUAAUGACGGUACCCAUAGAAGAAGCCCGGCUAACUUCGUGCCAGCAGCCGCGGUAA